CAUGGUGGUCUGUAAGGUGGGAACAAUGGCUCACACAGUUCCUGCCUUUUCAGAGUGUGCAGCCUAGAAGGAAAAGGGUCUCUGAAAUAAGUCCCUUGGGAUGAGAGAGCUGGAUCCAGGAGGCCAUCUUCUUCUCAGCCCACUGGCCACCACCCCAAGAUAUGUUCUUAAGCAGUCUUCAAAUACCACCUUCUACGGUGACAGUAGAGACGGGCCCACUACUGGACCCCACCAAUGCUGGACUACUGUGCUGAGGAUUGUUGCUGGCAAGGACACAAUAGGAGCCAUGGACACAGCUUUGGCACUGAACGGACACACGAACUUGGGUAAGUCGUUUAAUUUUCAAGCCUUAUUUGUCUUGUCUGUAAAAGAAGCUUAACUGAUACGUGCCCUACAGAACUGUCUAGAUGAUUUAAAAGAGUGGCUAUAAACCAAGGUCUAGUACUGUGGAUUUUUAUAGCACACACCAUGAUUAUUCAUGAUGCUGAUAAUGAGUACAAGGGUGGUAGCAGUGGUGAAAGUUUACCUCGCUACAGGGGCAGAGAUUUGUAUGGUUUUUGCCUCGAUGGUGCCAGCAGGAUGCUCACUAACAGUGAAGGCAAAGCACCAAGGACCAACGAUGUAUGCAAAAAGAAAACCGAUCCUUCACCUCACUCCCGAGGAGAAGCAGGCGCCCAUGUGUCUGCAGGGAUGUUUUGUCCUAAGCAGACAGGACUAUCUUCUGUUUUACAUGACGUGGCUGCAUGUAACUCAUCUCUCCUCAUUUCAGGAGUCUUCCGGAGUGCAUGCAUCUCUUCAAGGCUUACCCAAGAAUAACAUCUGUAGAACUUUCUAUCCAGUGACCUAAUGACUACAGCCAAAACUGUCUUGACUUUGUCUACGGACUCUCCCACGCAGCAUCUACAAAGGCAGCUGGAUGUCAGCAAAGCCAGCUCAGAGGGGCUCCUGCAUGAAAGGGGUUUGGAUGAAAGGAGUUGACUUCGGACACUAUGAAGGAUGAUGCCCAUUAAUAGUGUGGGUAGCCACAGGAAGCCAUCAAGAAUGCCUCAGAUACAGUUCCAGUUACAGACAGGAAGAUGCACGGGUCCUCUGAGUCUUAAUGAGCAUCGCCACGGUCUGAGAGUACUUGCAUUAGGCUAAAAGGCUCUGUGAGGGUAGCAGCUGAGCUCGCAAGUACACCCUGGGAUGAUGGUGUGCCCUGUACCAGGACAGAAUGGGAUCAUUAGAACUAGUGGGCUGUCACUCAUGCUCGCAAAUGGCGGGCAGGAAUUCUGCAGCAGGCUUUCUCAUUAUUCAACAAGAAAAGUCGCUCACUGAAAAUCAGUGUAGAAAGAUACAAAUGAGAGUGUAUGCAAACCAGGUAGGUAAAUGCAUGUGUGCGUGCACACAUCCUCAACAGAGACACAUGGCCCAAACACUGAACCAGCCUCUCUUUUCCUGCAGCACCACUUUUCUAAAAGACACAUGGGUCUCUGCUUUCCUUUGGGCCCGAGGGCUAGGAAGUAUUGCUUUGCACAUCUCCUCAAUCCUUGAUGUUUUCUGUGGUUGUUGGCUAUUCAGGUAAAAACUGCUGACACUCACACGGUACUUCUUCCCUUUGGAAGGCCCAUCUGGGGCUGAUAGAGAAUGGGAAUUAGCAUUAAGCUUGAAGACAUUCACGGACGCUAAUUACUGAGAGAACUACACAAGCUCAGAGCGGUGGUGUCGCUGUCCACAUUCAUGGAGCCAGAACAGAAGAGAAUGUGCUCAGGGCUCCCCGAGUCUUUGUAGCUUUCUUCAAAUGAUAGGACGAGGCCCUGUGAUUUAGAAUCAGGCUCUAAACGGGAGCCUCUACAAUACAUUACUGUUCUGAUGGAUGUCAGCCCCACAGGAGGCAGAACUAACCUCCCCUAACCCACCUAAGCAAGCCCUUUACAGCAACAGCCAGCCUCUUUACGAAGUCAGAGGGACGCCACUCUGCUCCAAGAUGGGUGUCUUGCGAUCCGGUUCUGCUUAUUUUCAAAGAGCCUUGGGUGAAAUUUUCUAAAAAUCCAAGUGAUUAUUCUAUACCGUGAGACAAAGCGUCAAGUCGUGCUCACCACAGAAUGCAGUUUCUCUAUUUCUGGAAUCGUCAUCAAUAAGGAAGAUGAAGUGCCCAGCUUGAGUGCUUGCCUUAAAUACUAAAGCGGAGUUUAUCUUUGUAAUGCGGAAUGGCUGUUUGUGUCUUUCUGCUUGCAAUGAGCCUGUUGAUUCUGGCAUCUCAAUCACUUAAUCAAUUCAAAAGCUAUAUUGAACUUACUUUACAGAUCUCUCAGCAGCCAAUAUAUCUACCCUUGUUAAAAUUAAUUGCAUCACUUAACAUUUCCACACGCAUUAUAGCUUUAAGUGUUUCACGGUCAUUUUUUAU